CCUACGGGUGGCAGCAGUGAGGAAUAUUUGUCAAUGGACGCAAGUCUGAACCCGCCAUGUCGCGUGCAGGAAGACUGCUCUAUGGGUUGUAAACUUCUUUUGUACGAGGGUAAAUCCCGAUACGUGUAUCUGUUUGUAUGUAUCUUAUGAAUAAGGAUCGGCUAACUCCGUGCCAGCAGCCGAGGUAAUACGGAGGAUUCAAGCGUUAUCCGGAUUUAUUGGGUUUAAAGGGUGCGUAGGCGGGUUGAUAAGUUAGAGGUGAAAUUUCGCGGCUCAACUCUGACAUUGCAUCUGAUACUGGCGGGCUAGAGUAUAGUUGCGGUAGGCGGAAUGUAUGGUGUAGCGGUGAAAUGCAUAGAGAUCACACAGAACACCGAUUGCGAAGGCAGCUUACCAAACUACGACUGACGUUGAGGCACGAAAGCGUGGGGAGCAAACAGGAUUAGAUACCCUGGUAGUC
rnacentral:rRNA from 1 species